GGACUACUAGGGUAUCUAAUCCUGUUUGCUCCCCACGCUUUCGCGCCUCAGCGUCAGUCAAGGACCAGGUCGCCGCCUUCGCCACCGGUGUUCUUCCCAAUAUCUACGAAUUUCACCUCUACACUGGGAAUUCCACGACCCUCUUCCCCACUCCAGCCCAAACGUCUCGAACGCAGCCCCCGGGUUGAGCCCAGGAAUUUCACGCCCGACUGUCCAGGCCGCCUACGCGCCCUUUACGCCCAGUCAUUCCGAGCAACGCUAGCCCCCUUCGUAUUACCGCGGCUGCUGGCAC
rnacentral:rRNA from 1 species